rnacentral:lncRNA from 1 species
UAAAGGUGACUGAUGGGCAGGACUGGUCCUUCUUGUUGCCCCUUCUAGGAAUCUGAAAACACUGCCUCCUGUGUUCCCACAUGGGUCCCCUGGGCUGAGCGCGUUGGCCUCCACAGCUCAACAGAAAACACCUUUAAGACGAUCGGUGCCCCCUUUUAAGCUACAUGAACAUCGAAAUCAGCAGUAAACCCUCCAGACCCAACCCACGUCCCCUGCUGUUACUGAAGCGCUAGUCUUCUGCACCUCAGUGUGUAAACA